UAAUUUAUUAGAAUAUAAUGAAAUAAAGAAAUAUAAAAAUAUUUGUGAUAUAUGGCUAGAUGACUAAAUUAUAGAAAGAAAUAGGAAAAAGAAUGGAAAAUCCCUCUAUCUCAAAAUAAUUGUCAUAUUUCUUAUAUUUAUUUGUCUCAAAUUAUUUAUCUUUUUAAAAUACCAAAUAUUUAUUAUUUAUUUUUACUAAUUUAUUCUUAUUCCUUGAAUUUUAAUUUAUAUAACUACUCUUU
rnacentral:lncRNA from 1 species